rfam:Myotis lucifugus cont2.27942, whole genome shotgun sequence.
GCCUGUGUUGCUCAGUGGUAAGAGCAUCGACCCAUGCACAGAAGGAUCGCAGGUUCGAUUCCAGUCAAGGGUG